rnacentral:lncRNA from 1 species
GUGGGUGGAGAAGGCAAGUAUGGUGGGACAAGAAUCCAAAAGGAGAGAUAGGAAAGCACAAGCCUGACUGAUUUCUCAAAUGUGCUGAAGAGUGAGCAAAACCUGGUUUUAAAGCAGAGCCUCAGAGUUCCCUGGUGGCUCAGUAGGUUAAGGACCUGGCCUUGUCCACUGAGGUAGUGUGGGUUUGGCCCCUGGCCCAGAAAUUUCCGCAUGCCCUGGGCAUGACCAAAAAGAAAAAAAAUAAUAAUCAUAAAGACAGAGGCUGAACCUUCAUGCUCUUUUGUGAAGAAGGUAUUUCAUCAAGGCUGCUUCCUAAGGAUGUUCAGGUUGUGCACUGCACACCUUCAGGGGCACUGUUUAGUUCACAGCCAGGCCCAUCUGCAAUUUUCUGAAGCCCCGCCGUGGUGACUCGUCCAAAUCCCGUCAGACGUGCUUUUCUUUGUCUGUCAGCACCACGUCUGUUGCCAGGAUUCCUCCUUCUCUCCAUCAGGCAUAAUUUUCAGACUCUGCCUUUCCUGUCAGGAAAAGUUGAAUUCAUCACCUCAGGCCUUGGGAGGAUAUCUUUGGAGGAAAAGCGGUGGGGGAGUGACUUCAUGACAAAAGUAAAUAUGACAGCUCUUUCUUCAUGUGCAGUAAAAAAACAAAAACAAAAACAAACAAACAAAAAACCACUUAUUUUUAAGUAGGUAAGGUAUCGACAUGAUACAGAAUUCAAAAAGUCAAAUGUGAGCACAGCAGUGAAACUUCCACAUUCCCGCCCUUUUCCCCCAGGCACCUGGAUCCUCUCAAUGGAAGGAGAGUCUUAAUCUUUCUAGAGGGGGGGUCUCUGGAUAAAUUAGCAGAGACGGUCUUCUGAUUUCUGAAUUCAGAUGAAUUUGGAAAGCAGUAUAGGAAAUAUAAACUAAAAUACACUGAAUAUACCAACGUGGUUGGUCCAAGGAGAGCCCUGAGGCUAGCCCACAUAAGGUGUUUGCUUUUGGUUUGCAUUGCUUUAGCAGACAUGUGGGAGUGCCCUGGUGGCUCAGCAGGUGAAGGAUCUGGCAUCGUCCCUGUUGUGGCUCUGGCUACUGCUGUGGCGCGGGUUUGAUC